GACGUAGGGCGCGAGCGUUGUCCGGAUUUAUUGGGCGUAAAGAGCUCGUAGGCGGUUUGUCGCGUCGAAUGUGAAAACCCGGGGCUCAACCCCGGGCCUGCAUUCGAUACGGGCAGACUAGAGUGCGGUAGGGGAGAUUGGAAUUCCUGGUGUAGCGGUGGAAUGCGCAGAUAUCAGGAGGAACACCAAUGGCGAAGGCAGAUCUCUGGGCCGUAACUGACGCUGAGGAGCGAAAGCAUGGGGAGCGAACAGG
rnacentral:rRNA from 1 species